rnacentral:rRNA from 1 species
GACGAACGCUGGCGGCGUGCUUAACACAUGCAAGUCGAACGGUGAAGCGCCGUCCUUUUUGGUUGGUGGGGAGGCGAGGGGAAGGGUAGAGUAAGAGGUGAGUAACCUUCCCCUUUCUAUUGGAUAACGGAACGAAAGCGUGGCUAAUACGGGAUAUCCUGGUGCUGUGGCAUGAUGGGACAGGGACGGAUGUUGUGUCGGGGGGGGAGGGGCUCGCGGCUUAUCAGCGUGUUGGUGGGGUGGUGGCCUACCAAGGCGGGGACGGGUAGCCGGCGUGAGAGGGUGGACGGUCACACUGGGACUGAGAGACGGCCCAGACUCCUACGGGAGGCAGCAGUGGGGAAUAUUGCACAAUGGGCGCAAGCCUGAUGCAGCGACGCCGCGUGAGGGAUGGAGGCCUGCGGGUUGUGAACCUCUUUCGCCAGUGAAGCAGGCCUGCCUCGUUUGUGGGUGGGUUGACGGUAGCUGGAUAAGAAGCGCCGGCUAACUACGUG